UGAGUGUUGUAGUUUUUGAUUCCAACAAAAAUGAGUCUUCAUCACUUAAUUAGUGUAACCCUUCGGCUUAGGUUUUUCUUCUAGUUAUUCUACCUUUCAUUUUCCUUUAUUAGUGCAGACAACACGAGAACUUUGGGAUUGGUCUCCUAGAUGAAUAACUACGAGAGCAAGAAGUUGAUGAGAAUCUUGCUUUGAAAAAGACUAGGCCUCUAGAGCAUGAUGUACACCUUCAGCAAUUAGAUAUUCAUUCUUAUAUUUCCAGGUAUAAGUGGAUCGGGUUGCCAACAAAUGGGGUUUUCUUCACAAAUAGUAUUAUUGGGACAAGCACACCCAAGACAUCUACAUAGAGUAGAUAUUUACACUAAUAUAAGUCAUUCUUGCCUCUAACAAUGGGUGUGCCUUAGUAGUUUAUGUUAACCUAUAAGAAGAUGUUUCCCUUGAGCACUUCCUCACAUGUGAUUCACAAAUACUAGCAGCUUCAUCAUCAUGCAAUUCUUAUGAAGGUUGUUGAAUAAGGAAUACAAUUAUCUCGGUGUCCAUUGAGGCAUCUAGAUCUCCUUGCAGCAUACAAGAGUUGAUGGCUAGGCUUUUAUGCGUACUCAUAAUGAUUUAAAUUGCAGACUGCAUCAUAUGAUAUGGCCACAAUAUUGUGGUUGCGGUUUUUGUCGCAACCGCAUCACAUCACAAUUGUGGUGUGACACUAAACCAUAAUGAUGCGGCUGGAUUAGAUGGCAAUGCAACUGCAUUGGGCUGUAUUUGGGUUGUAUCAUACCGCAAUGCAACCGCAUCAGACAACAUCGAUUUCACAAAUAUUUUUUUACUCACAAAAUAUUUCAC
rnacentral:lncRNA from 1 species